AAACCAGUUCUGCAGAAUAUUUCAGAAACCUUUCCAUUUCUCUAACCACCAUUUCAGGUUAAAAUAAGCCAAAGCUGUUGAUAAACCAGUUCUGCAGAAUAUUUCAGAAACCUUUCCAUUUCUCUAACCACCAUUUCAGGUUAAAAUAAGCCAAAGCUGUUGAUAAACCAGUUCUGCAGAAUAUUUCAGAAACCUUUCCAUUUCUCUAACCACCAUUUCAGGUUAAAAUGAGCCAAAGCUGUUGAUAAACCAGUUCUGCAGAAUAUUUCAGAAACCUUUCCAUUUCUCUAACCACCAUUUCAGGUUAAAAUAAGCCAAAAGAAUCUUCAGAAAGAAUAAAAUUUAACCCCACCAUGAAAAUCAAUCUUUACAUAUAUUAAUCAUAUAUAUGCAUAUGCCAGUGGUUGUGACGAGGAAAUCAAAUCACUGUUCAGUGUAUUUAUAAAAUUCACUCUCAACUCACAAGCAUAACAAGCUUCAAACAGUGAAAAAAGGAGGAAAGCAGAAGACACCUCCAGCGAAAUGCCAUGAACAUCACCAUUUACCUGCAACGGCAAUUGCUACAAGAUAAUCCUUAAAACAAAUUAGCUGACUAUUCGAUGUGUUCAUAAUGUAAUUCUUUGAACCGAUGGAAAAGCAAAAGUUGCUUCUUAUGAGACAGCCUGGUGUUUUGGGGAGCAGUAGAAGAAACCAUUCAGAAAGUAAGAUUUUGAAGGUUAGAAAGACAUUGCUAAAUAACUCAAAUACUGGUGAGAGAUGGGUAGGAUACCCUACCUUCUUCUCACUCCUUUUAGAUAGAAAAGUUUAGUGCAAAAUACUACAUAGUGUUUAAAAACAUUCACCGGAAUAGAAGUACUUGAAUAAAAAGAAAAUACACAUUGAAGAUCAUGGUCUUUAAGCAAAAGGUAACUUUUGUCAUAGUAAAAGACUUCAUUUGGAGAGUGCCCGGAACUUCAGAAGAAUCACCAGUCCAAAACUAAAAGUUUGAUGCAUUUUAUCAAGGAAUCUGCACAAUGAAUAGGUAAAACAUAAAAAACUAAGUAGAAAAAUAUUUUUAGCAGAAAAAACCAUGAAAUGCAAGUGAGAGUAAUACCUUGAGAAAAGUGAAAGACAAGUCAAAGGAUAUUGUUUUUAUGUAA